rnacentral:rRNA from 1 species
UAGAGUCACGGUAGACUACAGGAUUCCCCUAGUAACUGCGAGUGAAGCGGGAAAAGCUCAAAUUUGAAAUCUGGCAGUCUAUGGCUGUCCGAGUUGUAAUCUAGAGAAGUGUUACCCGCGCUGGACCGUGUACAAGUCUCCUGGAAUGGAGCGUCAUAGAGGGUGAGAAUCCCGUCUCUGACACGGACUACCAGGGCUUUGUGGUAUGCUCUCAAAGAGUCGAGUUGUUUGGGAAUGCAGCUCAAAACGGGUGGUAAAUUCCAUCUAAAGCUAAAUAUUGGCGAGAGACCGAUAGCGAACAAGUACCGUGAGGGAAAGAUGAAAAGAACUUUGGAAAGAGAGUUAAACAGUACGUGAAAUUGCUGAAAGGGAAACGCUUGAAGUCAGUCGCGUUGGCCGGGGAUCAGCCUCGCAUUUGCGUGGUGUACUUUCCGGUUGACGGGUCAGCAUCAAUUUUGACCGCUGGAAAAAGGCUUGGGGAAUGUGGCAGCUUCGGCUGUGUUAUAGCCCUUUGUCACAUACAGCGGUUGGGAUUGAGGAACUCAGCACGCCGCAAGGCCGGGUUUCGACCACGUUCGUGCUUAGGAUGCUGGCAUAAUGGCUUUAAGCGACCCGUCUUGAAACACGGACCAAGGAGUCUAACAUGCCUGCGAGUGUUUGGGUGGAAAACCCGAGCGCGAAAUGAAAGUGAAAGUUGAGAUCCCUGUCGUGGGGAGCAUCGACGCCCGGACCAGAACUUUUGGGACGGAUCCGCGGUAGAGCAUGUAUGUUGGGACCCGAAAGAUGGUGAACUAUGCCUGAAUAGGGUGAAGCCAGAGGAAACUCUGGUGGAGGCUCGUAGCGAUUCUGACGUGCAAAUCGAUCGUCAAAUUUGGGUAUAGGGGCGAAAGACUAAUCGAACCAUCUAGUAGCUGGUUCUGCAAAAAUUUCCC